GCUACGGCACCAUGGCGG
rnacentral:misc_RNA from 1 species